rnacentral:rRNA from 1 species
GGACGGGUGAGUAACGCGUGGGUAACCUACCCCAAAGUCCGGGAUAACAGCGGGAAACCGCUGCUAAUACCGGAUGUCUUUACCUUGGGGCAUCUUGAGGUAAAGAAAGGUAACGCUUUGGGAUGGGCCCGCGUCCCAUUAGCUAGUUGGUGAGGUAACGGCUCACCAAGGCGACGAUGGGUAGCCGGCCUGAGAGGGUGGACGGCCACACUGGGACUGAGACACGGCCCAGACUCCUACGGGAGGCAGCAGUAGGGAAUAUUGCGCAAUGGACGGAAGUCUGACGCAGCGACGCCGCGUGAGCGAUGAAGGUCUUCGGAUCGUAAAGCUCUGUCCUUGGGGAAGAAGGCGAAAGCUUGACGGUACCCAAGAAGAAUGCCCCGGCUAACUACGUGCCAGCAGCCGCGGUAAUACGUAGGGGGCGAGCGUUGUCCGGAAUUACUGGGCGUAAAG